rnacentral:rRNA from 1 species
UUGAACGCUGGCGGCAUGCUUUACACAUGCAAGUCGAACGGUAACAGGUUAAGCUGACGAGUGGCGAACGGGUGAGUAAUGCAUCGGAACGUGCCCGAUCGUGGGGGAUAACGCAGCGAAAGCUGCGCUAAUACCGCAUACGAUCUGAGGAUGAAAGCGGGGGACCGUAAGGCCUCGCGCGAUCGGAGCGGCCGAUGUCAGAUUAGGUAGUUGGUGGGGUAAAGGCUCACCAAGCCGACGAUCUGUAGCUGGUCUGAGAGGACGACCAGCCACACUGGGACUGAGACACGGCCCAGACUCCUACGGGAGGCAGCAGUGGGGAAUUUUGGACAAUGGGCGCAAGCCUGAUCCAGCAAUGCCGCGUGCAGGAAGAAGGCCUUCGGGUUGUAAAGCUCUUUCAGUGGGAACGAAACGGUUCAAGUGAAUAACUUGGGCUAAUGACGGUACCCAAAGAAGAAGCACCGGCUAACUACGU